AACGAACGCUGGCGGCAUGCCUAACACAUGCAAGUCGAACGAGACCCCUGACUUCGGUUGGCGGGUCUAGUGGCGCACGGGUGCGUAACGCGUGGGAAUCUGCCCUUGGGUUCGGAAUAACUCAGAGAAAUUUGAGCUAAUACCGGAUGAUGACGAAAGUCCAAAGAUUUAUCGCCCAGGGAUGAGCCCGCGUAAGAUUAGCUUGUUGGUGGGGUAAUGGCCUACCAAGGCGACGAUCUUUAGCUGGUCUGAGAGGAUGAUCAGCCACACUGGGACUGAGACACGGCCCAGACUCCUACGGGAGGCAGCAGUGGGGAAUAUUAAACAAUGGGCGCAAGCCUGAUCCAGCAAUGCCGCGUGAGUGAUGAAGGCCUUAGGGUUGUAAAGCUCUUUUACCAGGGAUGAUAAUGACAGUACCUGGAGAAUAAGCUCCGGCUAACUCCGUG
rnacentral:rRNA from 1 species